GACGAACGCUGGCGGCGUGCUUAACACAUGCAAGUCGAACGGUGAACCGGGCUUCGGCCCGGGGAUCAGUGGCGAACGGGUGCGUAACACGUGGGCAACCUGCCCCAGACACUGGGAUAACUCCGGGAAACCGGGGCUAAUACCGGAUACUCUCAGCCGACCGCAUGACCGGCUGAGGAAAGCUCCGGCGGUCUGGGAUGGGCCCGCGGCCUAUCAGCUUGUUGGUGGGGUAACGGCCUACCAAGGCGACGACGGGUAGCUGGUCUGAGAGGACGGCCAGCCACACUGGGACUGAGACACGGUCCAGACACCCACGGGUGGCAGCAGUUUCGAAUCAUUCACAAUGGGCGAAAGCCUGAUGGUGCGACGCCGCGUGAGGGAUGAAGGCC
rnacentral:rRNA from 1 species